CCCUUAGAUGUCCUGGGCCGCACGCGCGCUACACUGAGUGUCUGAGAUACGAGUCUGCCUAGCCGGCGAGGUCUAGGUAAUCGCUGAAAGACACAUCAUGCUUGGGAUAGAUUAUUGCAGAUAUUAAUCUUGAACGAGGAAUUCCUAGUAAGCGCAAGUCAACAGCUUGCAUUGAUUACGUCCCUGCCCUUUGUACACACCGCCCGUCGCUCCUACCGAUUGAAUGAUCCGAUGAAUACCAUGGAUUGAGAGUACGAAUAGGUUCGCUUAUUUCUGCUUCUCGAGAAGUGGAGUAAAUCUUAUCAUUUAGAGGAAGGAGAAGUCGUAACA
rnacentral:rRNA from 1 species